rnacentral:rRNA from 1 species
ACGGAGGGUGCGAGCGUUGUUCGGAAUUACUGGGCGUAAAGGGCUCGUAGGCGGCCAACUAAGUCGGACGUGAAAUCCCCAGGCUCAACCUGGGAACUGCGUCCGAUACUGGAUGGCUUGAAUUCGGGAGAGGGAUGCAGAAUUCCAGGUGUAGCGGUGAAAUGCGUAGAUAUCUGGAGGAAUACCGGUGGCGAAGGCGGCAUCCUGGACCGACAUUGACGCUGAUGAGCGAAAGCUAAGGGAGCAAACGGGA